rnacentral:lncRNA from 1 species
UCGUCUCUUAUCUCCUCGCUUCUAGUAUCCUGCCAGUCACUUUCCCCUCUCAGUUUCAGUCUCUCUUCUCCUCCAUGUGUCGUCUCCUCUUCCUAUGCAGAGCUAGGGUUCGUCGAGUUCGUCCUCUCCUCUUCCUAUCUAGUUCUGCUUUAGUUUCUGAAGAGACUAAGAUCUUGCUGUUAAAAUUUGCAGGAUUUGCAUCUCGACGUUUUUCUUGGUUUAGGAGAUCUCCUUUGGUGCUUCUGCUCUUUUCCAGGUAUAUUUUUUUGUCUUGAAUCUUCUUUCUGAGUAGUUUUUGGUCAGGGUUUCUUGUUUAGCAUGCUAUCUUGUGUAGCAUGCUUUCUCUAUUGAUUCUGUUUUCUUCAGAUCUGUUCCAAUGUCUGCCAGGUUAGGGUUCUUUUGUUGUUGGGGUAGUACAAGUAGAUCUUUAUGGUUCUUGUCUAUCAUGUUUCAGUUAGGGUAUCUGUUUUCUUCAGAUUUGAUCUAAUUUUUGCCUGAUUAGGGUUUCUACAGAUAUGUGUUUAUGGUGGUAGUACGAGUAGUAUGGUUAGGGUUCUUUGUUUAUCAUGCUUAGAUUAGGAUUUUCGUUGUGUUUAUAUUUUGCUCUGACUGUUGGCAUGUUAAGUUUACUUUUGAGAUUUGAUCUGAUUUUUAUUUAGUAAGGUUUUUUUUCAUUAAUCUUAGAUAUGUAUGUCUUGAAAGGUCAAAUCCUUUUUGUUUAUAUUGUUAAUCUAAUGCUAUUCAUAGGUCGUGUCACUAUUGGCCGUAUUUUAUUUCGUGAGUUUUUGCAUGCAGUGUGUGUAUGCUCUAUGUUAUGUCAAAUCCUUAAAGUUUUUUAACUAUCUUUUUGUUCUUAUAUUUUUUAUUAUGCUAAUGUUUUUAUUUUUAGUUCCUGUAUUUGUAAUAUUUCUGUACAUAGCUUUUUUAGUAUACUGGUGCUUGUAGUUUUUGGUCCCUGCACUUAUAAUAUGCUUGUUCCAAGCUGGUAUAGCAUGGCUGUAUUUGUAUUUGUAUUUUUGUAAAGCAAUUUGCUUGUAUUGGAUUUCUGCAAAUUUUAAAGGGCGCAUGUGUAGUUUAGGUAGAUUUAAACUGUCCUGAUAACCUCUAAACAAAAGAAAUAACAUAAUCUUUCAAAAAUGAAUAAAUGCCGGUGAUCUUUUUCCUUUUGAUAUUCUGUGUGCAUAUUUUAAUCUAAGUAGAAUACAGUUAAGUGAUUUGCCUAAUCUUGCAUGAUUACUCUUUGCUUUUGAGCAACUUACGCAAAUUUAGGUCCAUGAUCAUGCAAUAUCUUCAAUUUAUAUUCAUGAAUUUGGUUCGUUGUAUUACUUACAUCUUCACUUCUUUGAAGAUAUCUACCUAGAGUUGGAAUUCAGUUUUUGAGUUUUCUUUUUUUUAUGUCCAAUUUAUCCUAUGCUUUAAUUAGAAUGUAUUUUUUUGGUGUUCUAUAGUUCAUCUAGGUUCUCCGGGUUUUUUAUCCCCUGUUGGGUAAUUAGAUAAUUUUUCCUUUUUAUUUAAGUUUUAUUUUUUAUUUUCUGUAUGUAUGGUUUGCCCGUGCGCCGUGCCUGCCGUUCGAGCCACCUGGAGGAUUUCCUCAAGUGUUUGAUGUUGUCCUUGACAAGGAUUGCUUCAUGCGGAUGGUGAGUUGUAUCAAUCAUUUCUUUAUAGCUAUAUUUUCUUUGUAGACAUCAAUAUAUCCGUAUAUGUUUACUUAGUUCCUGCAUUUCUUUUGUAUAAUCAUGGCUAAUACAGAACUCGUUGAAUUAAGGGUUCGUUCCCCAUUCUUUGACUAGGUUGUCUUUGUUUGUAGUUAUAUUAAUCAUUUAUUUUAUAGAUUGUGUUAAGGGCAAUUUUCUUGUAUUGGAUUUGUGCAAUUUGUAAAAAGGAUUUUUAUAGGUUGUAUUAAGGAUUUAUGUUGUGUUUACAUUAGAAGUUUUCUUUGUCAGAAAAUAAAAAACAUACUUUCUUUAGUUUACUUGUGUACAAGUUUUAUCUGUAUAAAUUAGAGCUACCCAUGUUUCCCUUUUGAAAUACACUGAUGUAAACACAACAUCAUGAAGUUUUAGUUCUGGUAGUUUUUGGUGAAUUAACUUGUUUUAAUCAGCUUGAAACUGUACUGAUUUUUCCAUAGUUCAUCCUAUGAUUUCUUCUUUUUUGGUUAACUACCUUUGUGGAUGUGUAUUUGUAAAAAAUAUGUAUGUGCAAGUUUUAUCUGUAUAUUAAUGUUUUUUUCUAACCAUGAUGUUUUGGCUAGUAUAUCUAGUAUGUCUAGAAAUAUUUAGAGAUAGCAGUACCAUUUGUUAUUUUUUGCAGUUAUUCUUUGUGUGCAAGUUUCAUGUAAGACUAGUAUAAUAUAAUUUUUUUAUUACACUAGCUUGAUAUUGUUCUUAAAUUUUCAUAGUCUACCUAUCUGUUUUUUAUAUGUUAAUUAUGUUUUUGAAUUGAUAACUACAACAUCUAUUUUGUUAACUUAUUAUAAGAGCCUAAGUAUGCAUGUAGUGUACAUUUAUAUCUCCCCAAUGUUUUUGCUGCUACAAGUUUAGUUCUCCCUACUUGCAAAUUUUACGGAGGUGUUGUGCCUUAGCCGUUUUCAAUCAGUUUGUAAUUGAACUAGGGGGGUAGAUGCUACGUUUAACUUUUCUAAUUACGUAGACAUGCUAUUUGUACUAUAUUUUUUUUCAUAUGUUACUCUUAACCAACAAUUGCAAGUUUAGAUUUAUGUAUAUGCAAGUUUAGUUCGUAUGAAGAAAUUUUUUAAUCUCUGAUUUUAGGGUGGUUUUCUGCUCUACUUGUAGUUCGACAACUUGUAUUACAAACAGGCGCAACUUUACUUCUUAUGAUUAAAUUUUCAAUUUCUGUCUUUAGGUGGGUGUUCUGCCUUUCUUGUAGUUCAACAUUUUUUUGUACAAGUACAAACAUGUUAUUUUUUACUGUAGUAUGAAUUUGUAUUGUUCAAUUCUCUGAAUUUCUGACAGCAAAUGUACAUUCAAGUGUUCUCGCUAUUUUUUUCUAUUUCUGGUUACAUCAUUUUUUGCUGGGCACUAAAGAGACAGGAUAUAACUUUUCUAAUUAUGUGUUGUUGUUGAACAACUACAACAAGUUUAGUUCUCCCUACUUGCAAAUUUUACCGAGGUGUUCUGCCUUAGCUGUUUUCAAACAUUUUGUAAUUGAACUAGGGGGUAGAUGUUACGUUUAACUUUUCUAAUUAUGUAGACAUGCUAUUUGCACUUUUUUUUUAUAUGUUGCUCUUGACCAACAAUUGCAAGUUCAAAUUUAUGUAUAUGCAAGUUUAGUUCAUAUGAAGAAAAAAAAUUAAAUUCUGAUUUUAGGGUGGUGUUCUUCUCUACUUAUAGCUCAACAACUUGUAUUACAAACAGGCGCAAUUUUACUUCUUAUGAUUAAACUUUCAAUUUCUGCCUUUAGGUGGGUGUUCUGCCUUUCUUGUAGUUCAACAUCUUUUAGUACAAGUACAAACAUGUUAUUUUUUAGUCAUAAGUUAUAGUAUGAAUUUGUAUUGUUCAAUUGUCUGAAUUUCUAACAGCAAAUGUGUAUUCUGGUGUUGUCACUAUCUUUUUCUAGUUCCAGUUACAUCAUUUUUUGCUGGGCAGUAAAGAGACAGAAUAUAACUUUUCUAAUUAUUUGUUGUUGUUGAACAACUACUACAAGUUUAGUUCUCCCUACAAGAACUUUGGGCAAUCAGAGGAGAAGGACAUAGCAUGGAAGAAAUGUAGAGGAUGGAGAUCUAUCGAGACACCAGAGGGCGGCAGUAUCCGAGUUUUGUUCAUGAGUCCAUGGUGGCGCUGGUGAUGGGGGAAGGAGGGGCAAGGAAGAAGACCUAGUUAUAUGCCCGUGAGCUGGAUCCAGAUCUCUGAAGGUAGUGGGUUUGGUUUCUUAGCAGGGUCAGGCCCGUUUAAUUUUGGGUUGUAUAGAUGGCAAAACAUCAAAAGGGGUUUCAGCGCUGGAUCAGUGAUGUUUUUUUCCUUUUGGGCUGAUUCGACUGACGCUUAGUUCAGGUCAGUCAAUUUUCUUUUGCUUUCCAUCAUUCUGCUCUUCUUUAGGAAUCGACUGACACAAUUGUAGAGUCAGUCGAUUGACUUGUAGCCGCUCCCAUCCAACAUAUAUACUUCACGGCCAAAAAGAAGGCAUGCAGUUAAACUUGAUAUGAAAGUCUUCUUUUCGUUUAAGGUGAAGUAAGACAAAGUUCAUGGGCUUGUAUUACCCUUAUCGGGAUUGUUAAAUCUCAAUCGACUGAGACUAACUAUACCCAUGAGAUCUUGUGGAGAUCCGUGUAAACAAAUUUUAAUUCUUUUUCUUUCUUCUCUAUUAUGUGUUCUGUCACUUGAUUGAGACUUUGUUAAGUCUCAAUCGACUAAGAUCUAGCCACACUCUAUCUUUAUAUCG